rnacentral:lncRNA from 1 species
AGGUUAUCACUACUAAAAUGCAGUUUAUUUAUUAAUUUCUAAUUUUUCUGUGUGCAUAUGUAUGUUUCUUUAAUCAUUCUUUAUUGGUGCAGUUCUCUUGGGAAACCAAGGCGUUUUUCUCAACAGUUUCUGAAGGAGGAAAAGGAAAAGCUAUACCUAUACAGGGAUUCUGUAAGAAAACAUUACGAUGAACUAAACACGGGUAUGAGGGAAGGACUUCCGAUGGAUCUGGCUCGGCCUCUAAAUGUUUCACAGAGAGUCAUUUGCCUUCAUCCAAAGUCAAGAGAGAUUCAUGACGGCAGUGUCCUAACCGUUGAUCACUGCAGGUACCGGAUUCAGUUUGACAACCCUGAACUAGGGGUGGAAUUUGUCAAGGUAUUCUUUCUGCCACUGCAAAUUUUUCUGGCAUUUCUAGAAUCAGAAUCUUUGACAUGAAGAAUAAACGUGAAUAUGGAAUAAUACUGAAACUGAAAAAAGAGAGGAAUGAAUCCUCGGCUCCUCGCAGUUGACUGCACAUUUGUGAUUUUAAUUAAUGUCUCAAAAACGUUUGGUAAAUGGAAUCACUACUGAAUUUCUUACAACAGAAUUUUAGCACUUAAUAGUUGACCAAUUUAUCUGGUGCAUACUUCACGAGGUUCUCUACAAAAGCACUAAGAACUAAUCUGAUAUCUGUAUGACUUUUGAGCGAGAACGAAUUUGAAUGUUAAUAACAUUUAAACCAGACGCUGGCAGAUCUAUCGCUGAUGAUGCCUGAAACUGCCACGGACACUGGUGGGGAUACCUAUGUUUGACCUAUAAGCGUUUUACAUUAAGCCUAGUGUCUUAAGCUGGUUAAUGUUUAUUAACUUUCUCUAUCGAAUUUUUGUUUGAAGAGUCAUCUGUUCAAGCUGAGGAAAAGAGAGCUGGAAAGGCUUCAGAUUAUAAAGAGACUGAUUUAGCAUCCAUGUCUAAAAGGGGCUCUCUUAGAAAAUCGAAACAGAAAAGACCCGUCUGCAAUGAUCUUUGUAAUACUGAACCCGAGAGAAAGAGUCCAAGUAGCUCUGUAAUCAGAAAGGGACGGCAGAAAGCAUCACCAGCUAAAGUAAGAGAAGCUAUAUACUUAACAAAGAUACUUGCUUUUACGGUUCUAUUGUCUCAAUUCAUGACCAUGUUGAAGUUGUUUCUUCCUGCAGGUUCCUAAAGAUGAGCUUGCUGCAAUUUCACAAGUCACUGAGCCUUCUAAAAACAAGGUACGUGUCUGGUAUAGAACACAUCUCUCUAUUAGACAACAUUGCAUAUAUUAUAUCUUCGACAGACCAUUUUUUAAAAUAUUUCAGGUUUGUUUUUCUUUGUGGAAUUUCGUUUGUAGCUUUAAUCUGGUACUGAUUGUAUUGUUGUAGGGAAUAGGUGAGGAAAUUAAGCCUGUUGGGAGAGGUAAACGGUCUGCAAGUAUUCGAAACUCGUAUGAUAAGAAGUCUGUCAAACCCCAGGAUCGUACUUCUUCAAGUAACAACAUGGUAGAUGACGAUGAGUCAGCUCCAUCAACUGCAGCCACCCAAAAAGAAGUUAACUUGCCAACUAAAGUUAGAAGCAGAAGAAAGAUAGUAACUGAGAAACCUCUAACUAUUGAUGACGUGAAGAAGUCAGAGAUUUUGGUGAGUGAAAAAUUUCUGAUCAUACAACUCUGUUGCCAAAUGAUAAAGAAUCACCAACGAUAUCAAUUAAUCUUAGUUUGUGGAGUUCCCUUAUUAUAUGUUGUACCAUAUACAGGAGAAGUUUUCGCAUUGCAUAUCUAGUUUCAAAGCACGAAGAUGGUGUCUUUUUGAGUGGUUCUAUAGCGCAAUUGACUACCCAUGGUUUGCCAGACAAGAGUUUGUUGAGUACUUGGAUCAUGUAGGGUUGGGCCAUGUUCCUAGGUUAACUCGCGUUGAAUGGGGUGUCAUAAGGAGGUUAUCACUACUAAAAUGCAGUUUAUUUAUUAAUUUCUAAUUUUUCUGUGUGCAUAUGUAUGUUUCCUUAAUCAUUCUUUAUUGGUGCAGUUCUCUUGGGAAACCAAGGCGUUUUUCUCAACAGUUUCUGAAGGAGGAAAAAGAAAAGCUAUACCUAUACAGGGAUUCUGUAAGAAAACAUUACGAUGAACUAAACACGGGUAUGAGGGAAGGACUUCCGAUGGAUCUGGCUCGGCCUCUAAAUGUUUCACAGAGAGUCAUUUGCCUUCAUCCAAAGUCAAGAGAGAUUCAUGACGGCAGUGUCCUAACCGUUGAUCACUGCAGGUACCGGAUUCAGUUUGACAACCCUGAACUAGGGGUGGAAUUUGUCAAGGUAUUCUUUCUGCCACUGCAAAUUUUUCUGGCAUUUCUAGAAUCAGAAUCUUUGACAUGAAGAAUAAACGUGAAUAUGGAAUAAUACUGAAACUGAAAAAA